rnacentral:rRNA from 1 species
GACGAACGCUGGCGGCGUGCUUAACACAUGCAAGUCGAACGGAAAGGCCCUGCUUUUGUGGGGUGCUCGAGUGGCGAACGGGUGAGUAACACGUGAGUAACCUGCCCUUGACUUUGGGAUAACUUCAGGAAACUGGGGCUACUACCGGAUAGGAGCUCCUGCUGCAUGGUGGGGGUUGGAAAGUUUCGGCGGUUGGGGAUGGACUCGCGGCUUAUCAGCUUGUUGGUGGGGUAGUGGCUUACCAAGGCUUUGACGGGUAGCCGGCCUGGGAGGGUGACCGGCCACAUGGGGACUGGGAUACGGCCAAGACUCCUACGGGAGGAAGCAGUGGGGAAUAUUGCACAAUGGGCGGAAGCCGAAUGCAGCAACGCCGCGGGCGGGAUGACGGCCUUCGGGUUGUAAACCGCUUUCGCCGGGGACGAAGCGGGAGUGACGGUAAUGGGUAAAGAAGCACCGGCUAACUACGUG